GCGUAGGGAACGUAGGUGGAUAGUUCAAAAUAUAGUCAAAGACUGAGGAUGGCCCUCUUUAAUCUAUAUUUACUGAUCAUUUGAGAUUUAACGGCGUUUUAUUAAACUGAAGCAGUAAAGGUUAAAUUUGUUGAUACUUUAGGAUAUUCAAAGGCGAAAGAUUCAACGAGUUAAAUCUGACGCUAAGGUUCGAAUGAUGGGAUUCAAAGUGGAUUAGAGACCAUGUAGUCCAUGCCUUAAACAUGAGUGUUAAACGUCUUUUUGUAUGGUAAAAACUUUAAAAGAGAUAAAUUUUUUAUCAGGAACUUAAAGGGGUUUUAAGCUAACGCGUGAAACACCGCCUGGGGAAUGUGGCCGCAAGGUUAAACUCAAAGGAAUUGAGGAGGCUUGUACAAAG
rnacentral:rRNA from 1 species